rnacentral:rRNA from 1 species
ACUACGGGUGGCAGCAGUGAGGAAUAUUGGACAAUGGGCGGGAGCCUGAACCAGCCAAGCCGCGUGAGGGAAGAAGGUACAGCGUAUCGUAAACCUCUUUUGUCAGGGAACAAAGGCGGGGACUAGUCCCCGGAUGAGGGUACCUGAAGAAAAAGCAUCGGCUAACUCCGUGCCAGCAGCCGCGGUAAUACGGAGGAUGCGGGGGUUAUCCGGAUUUAUGGGGUUGAAAGGGUGCGCAGGCGGCCUGUUAGGUCAGAGGUAAAAGCCCGGGGCUCAACCCCGGCGAGCCGUUGAAACUGGCGGGCUGGAGUUGGAGAGAAGUACGCGGAAUGCGCGGUGUAGCGGUGAAAUGCUUAGAUAUCGCGCAGAACCCCGAUUGCGAAGGCAGCGUACCGGCUCCACACUGACGCUGAGGCACGAAAGCGUGGGUAUCGAACAGGAUUAGAUACCCGAGUAGUC